UACAGAGGGCGCAAGCGUUAAUCGGAAUUACUGGGCGUAAAGCGCGCGUAGGUGGUUUGUUAAGUUGGAUGUGAAAUCCCCGGGCUCAACCUGGGAACUGCAUUCAAAACUGACAAGCUAGAGUAUGGUAGAGGGUGGUGGAAUUUCCUGUGUAGCGGUGAAAUGCGUAGAUAUAGGAAGGAACACCAGUGGCGAAGGCGACCACCUGGACUGAUACUGACACUGAGGUGCGAAAGCGUGGGGAGCAAACAGG
rnacentral:rRNA from 1 species